rnacentral:rRNA from 1 species
UACGGGGGGGGCAAGCGUUGUUCGGAAUUACUGGGCGUAAAGGGCUCGUAGGCGGCCAACUAAGUCGGACGUGAAAUCCCCAGGCUCAACCUGGGAACUGCGUCUGAUACUGGAUGGCUUGAAUCCGGGAGAGGGAUGCAGAAUUCCUGGUGUAGCGGUGAAAUGCGCAGAUAUCAGGAGGAACACCGGUGGCGAAGGCGGCUGACUGGUCCGGUUCUGACGCUGAGGCGCGAAAAGCGUGGGGAGCAAACAGG